rnacentral:rRNA from 1 species
UACGAAGGUGGCAAGCGUUGUUCGGAUUUACUGGGCGUACAGGGAGCGUAGGCGGUUGGGUAAGCCCUCCGUGAAAUCUCCGGGCCUAACCCGGAAAGUGCGGAGGGGACUGCUCGGCUAGAGGAUGGGAGAGGAGCGCGGAAUUCCCGGUGUAGCGGUGAAAUGCGUAGAGAUCGGGAGGAAGGCCGGUGGCGAAGGCGGCGCUCUAGAACAUUUCUGACGCUGAGGCUCGAAAGCGUGGGGAGCAAACAGG